UACGAAGGGUGCAAGCGUUGUUCGGAUUUACUGGGCGUAAAGCGCGCGCAGGCGGAUAAUUAAGUCAGAUGUGAAAUCCCGGGGCUCAACCCCGGAACUGCGUCUGAAACUGAUAAUCUAGAAUAUUGGAGAGGGAGAUGGAAUUUCGCAUGUAGGGGUAAAAUCCGUAGAGAUGCGAAGGAACACCAGAGGCGAAGGCGGUCUCCUGGCCAAUUAUUGACGCUGAGGCGCGAAAGCGUGGGGAGCAAACAGG
rnacentral:misc_RNA from 1 species